rnacentral:rRNA from 1 species
UACAGGGGGGGCAAGCGUUGUCCGGAAUUACUGGGCGUACAGCGCGCGCAGGCGGUCCACUACGUGCCGUGUGACAGACGUCGGCUUAACCGACGUAGGCCAGGGUACACGGGUGAACUUGAGGCAGAGAGAGGGAUGUGGAAUACCCGGUGGAGCGGUGAAAUGCGUAGAGAUCGGGUGGAACACCAGGGGCGAAGGCGGCAUCCUGGCUCUGUACUGACGCUGAGGCGCGAGAGCGUGGGGAGCAAACCGGAUUAGAAACCCGCGUAGUCC